GAUCAUGGCUCAGAUUGAACGCUGGCGGCAGGCCUAACACAUGCAAGUCGAGCGGGGUUUCGGACCUAGCGGCGGACGGGUGAGUAAUGCGUAGGAAGCUACCCGAUAGAGGGGGAUACCAGUUGGAAAUGACUGUUAAUACCGCAUAAUGUCUACGGACCAAAGUGUGGGACCUUCGGGCCACAUGCUAUCGGAUGCGCCUACGUGGGAUUAGCUAGUUGGUGGGGUAAUGGCUCACCAAGGCGACGAUCCCUAGCUGGUUUGAGAGGAUGAUCAGCCACACUGGAACUGAGACACGGUCCAGACUCCUACGGGAGGCAGCAGUGGGGAAUAUUGGACAAUGGGCGCAAGCCUGAUCCAGCCAUGCCGCGUGUGUGAAGAAGGCCUUCGGGUUGUAAAGCACUUUCAGCGAGGAGGAAGGGAGUUGUGUUAAUAGCACAGCUUUUUGACGUUACUCGCAGAAGAAGCACCGGCUAACUCUGUG
rnacentral:rRNA from 1 species